rnacentral:rRNA from 1 species
GCAGUUGCCGGGGUGCUAUACAUGCAAGUAGAACGCUGAAGAGAGGAGCUUGCUCUUCUUGGAUGAGUUGCGAACGGGUGAGUAACGCGUAGGUAACCUGCCUUGUAGCGGGGGAUAACUAUUGGAAACGAUAGCUAAUACCGCAUAACAAUGGAUGACACAUGUCAUUUAUUUGAAAGGGGCAAUUGCUCCACUACAAGAUGGACCUGCGUUGUAUUAGCUAGUAGGUGAGGUAACGGCUCACCUAGGCGACGAUACAUAGCCGACCUGAGAGGGUGAUCGGCCACACUGGGACUGAGACACGGCCCAGACUCCUACGGGAGGCAGCAGUAGGGAAUCUUCGGCAAUGGGGGCAACCCUGACCGAGCAACGCCGCGUGAGUGAAGAAGGUUUUCGGAUCGUAAAGCUCUGUUGUAAGUCAAGAACGAGUGUGAGAGUGGAAAGUUCACACUGUGACGGUAGCUUACCAGAAAGGGACGGCUAACUACGUGCCAGCAGCCGCGGUAAUACGUAGGUCCCGAGCGUUGUCCGGAUUUAUUGGGCGUAAAGCGAGCGCAGGCGGUUUGAUAAGUCUGAAGUUAAAGGCUGUGGCUCAACCAUAGUUCGCUUUGGAAACUGUCAAACUUGAGUGCAGAAGGGGAGAGUGGAAUUCCAUGUGUAGCGGUGAAAUGCGUAGAUAUAUGGAGGAACACCGGUGGCGAAAGCGGCUCUCUGGUCUGUAACUGACGCUGAGGCUCGAAAGCGUGGGGAGCGAACAGGAUUAGAUACCCUGGUAGUCCACGCCGUAAACGAUGAGUGCUAGGUGUUGGAUCCUUUCCGGGAUUCAGUGCCGCAGCUAACGCAUUAAGCACUCCGCCUGGGGAGUACGACCGCAAGGUUGAAACUCAAAGGAAUUGACGGGGGCCCGCACAAGCGGUGGAGCAUGUGGUUUAAUUCGAAGCAACGCGAAGAACCUUACCAGGUCUUGACAUCCCGAUGCUAUUUCUAGAGAUAGAAAGUUACUUCGGUACAUCGGUGACAGGUGGUGCAUGGUUGUCGUCAGCUCGUGUCGUGAGAUGUUGGGUUAAGUCCCGCAACGAGCGCAACCCCUAUUGUUAGUUGCCAUCAUUCAGUUGGGCACUCUAGCGAGACUGCCGGUAAUAAACCGGAGGAAGGUGGGGAUGACGUCAAAUCAUCAUGCCCCUUAUGACCUGGGCUACACACGUGCUACAAUGGUUGGUACAACGAGUUGCGAGUCGGUGACGGCAAGCUAAUCUCUUAAAGCCAAUCUCAGUUCGGAUUGUAGGCUGCAACUCGCCUACAUGAAGUCGGAAUCGCUAGUAAUCGCGGAUCAGCACGCCGCGGUGAAUACGUUCCCGGGCCUUGUACACACCGCCCGUCACACCACGAGAGUUUGUAACACCCGAAGUCGGUGAGGUAACCUUUUGGAGCCAGCCGCUAAGGUGGGAAUAGAAGU